rnacentral:rRNA from 1 species
CCUACGGGAGGCAGCAGUGGGGAAUAUUGGGCAAUGGGCGCAAGCCUGACCCAGCAACGCCGCGUGAAGGAAGAAGGCUUUCGGGUUGUAAACUUCUUUUAAGAGGGAAGAGCAGAAGACGGUAUCUCUUGAAGAAGCUACGGCUAACUACGUGCCAGCAGCCGCGGUAAUACGUAGGUGGCAAGCGUUGUCCGGAUUUACUGGGUGGAAAGGGCGUGUAGCCGGGCUGACAAGUCAGAUGUGAAAUCCCGUGGCUCAACGCCGGAACUGCAUUUGAAACUGUCGGGCUUGAGUAUCGGAGAGGCUGGCGGAAUUCCUGGUGUAGCGGUGAAAUGCGUAGAUAUUAGGAGGAACACCAGUGGCGAAGGCGACCUGCUGGACGACAACUGACGGUGAGGCGCGAAAGCGUGGGGAGCAAACAGGAUUAGAUACCCUGGUAGUC